GAUGAACGCUGGCGGCGUGCCUAAUACAUGCAAGUCGAGCGAACAGACGAGGAGCUUGCUCCUCUGUCGUUAGCGUCGGACGGGUGAGUAACACGUGGAUCACCUACCUAUAAGACUGGAAUAACUUCGGGAAACCGGAGCUAAUACCGGAUAAUCUAUUGAACCGCAUGGUUCAAUAGUGAAAGACGGUUUUGCUGUCACUUAUAGAUGGAUCCGCGCCGCCUUAGCUAGUUGGUAAGGUAACGGCUUACCAAUGCAACGAUGCGUAGCCGACCUGAGAGGGUGAUCGUCGACAGUGGAACUGAGACACGGUCCAGACUCCUACGGGAGGCAGCAGCAGGGAAUGGGCCGCAUGGGGCGAAAGCCUGACGGAGCAGCGGCGCGUGAGUGAUGAGGGUCUUCGGAUCGUAAAACUCUGUUAUUAGGGAAGAACAAAUGUGUAAGUAGCUAUGCACGUCGUGACGGUACCUAAUCAGAAAGCCACGGCUAACUACGUG
rnacentral:rRNA from 1 species